rnacentral:rRNA from 1 species
AACGAACGCUGGCGGCACGUCUAACACAUGCAAGUCGAACGAGACCUUCGGGUCUAGUGCCGCACGGGCGCGUAACGCCACGUAACCUGCCCUUAGAUUCGGAAUAAAUCCCCGAAAGGUCUUCUCCUACCGCUUAGUGUCCUCGCACCAAACACUAAUCGCCGUUGGCUGGGCCCGCGUUAGCUUAGCUCGUUGGUAGGGUAAACGCCUACCCAGGCGACGAGCCCUAGCUGGUCUGAGAGGAUGAUCAGCCACACUGGGACUAAGACACGGCCCAGACUCCAACGGGAUGCAGCAGUGGGUAAUCUUGGACAAUGGGCGAAAGCCUGAGCCAGCAAGGCCGCGAGAGUGAUUAAGGCCUUAGGGUUGGAAAGCUCUAUUACCCGGGAUGAUAAUGACAGUAGCGUGAGAAGAAGGACCGGCUAACCCCGUG